UACAGAGGUCCCAAGCGUUGUUCGGAUUCACUGGGCGCAAAGGGUGCGUAGGCGGUCGGGUAAGUCUGACGUGAAAUCUUCAAGCUCAACUUGGAAACUGCGUCCGAUACUAUUCGGCUAGAGGAAUGGAGGGGAGACUGGAAUACUUGGUGUAGCAGUGAAAUGCGUAGAUAUCAAGUGGAACACCAGUGGCGAAGGCGAGUCUCUGGACAUUUCCUGACGCUGAGGCACGAAAGCCAGGGGAGCAAACGGG
rnacentral:rRNA from 1 species